GGAGCGUUACGAUGAUGGGACUCAUUAGUUCCAAGUGUCUAGCUCUCGUUUUCCUGGAGGCAACUUGCUUCCAGG
rfam:Alloiococcus otitis ATCC 51267 genomic scaffold supercont1.2, whole genome shotgun sequence.